rnacentral:rRNA from 1 species
UACGAGGGGGCAAGCGUUGUUCGGAAUUAUUGGGCGUAAAGGGUGCGUAGGCGGUCUGACAAGUCUGAUGUGAAAUCUAUGGGCUCAACCCAUAGUCUGCAUCGGAAACUGUCGGGCUUGAGUAUGGGAGAGGUGAGUGGAAUUCCUGGUGUAGCGGUGAAAUGGCGUAGAUAUCAGGAGGAACACCUGUGGCGAAGGCGGCCUGCUGGGCAGUUGCUGACACUGGAGGCGCGACAGCGUGGGGAGCAAACAGG